rnacentral:rRNA from 1 species
GACGAACGCAGGCGGCGUGCCUAAUACAUGCAAGUUGAGCGCUGAAGGUUGGUACUUGUACCAACUGGAUGAGCAGCGAACGGGUGAGUAACGCGUGGGGAAUCUGCCUUUGAGCGGGGGACAACAUUUGGAAACGAAUGCUAAUACCGCAUAAAAACUUUAAACACAAGUUUUAAGUUUGAAAGAUGCAAUUGCAUCACUCAAAGAUGAUCCCGCGUUGUAUUAGCUAGUUGGUGAGGUAAAGGCUCACCAAGGCGAUGAUACAUAGCCGACCUGAGAGGGUGAUCGGCCACAUUGGGACUGAGACACGGCCCAAACUCCUACGGGAGGCAGCAGUAGGGAAUCUUCGGCAAUGGACGAAAGUCUGACCGAGCAACGCCGCGUGAGUGAAGAAGGUUUUCGGAUCGUAAAACUCUGUUGGUAGAGAAGAACGUUGGUGAGAGUGGAAAGCUCAUCAAGUGACGGUAACUACCCAGAAAGGGACGGCUAACUACGUG